CGGUUUUCCUGCUACUCAUCGCCAGAUCGUUCCGUCACCCUCCGUGGUCUGUUCAUCUGCCAGCUGUGGCUACUACCUACCUGCCUGCUCACUCCUGCACGCUGCUCCUGGAUCAACCUGGAACCUGUUUUGGUUUAAAUAAAUAUUCUUUUGUUC